rfam:Oryza nivara chromosome 12, whole genome shotgun sequence.
AAAUACUCAAUUCGUAGGUUUCCGUGUCCAAUGUUUGACCGUCCGUCUUAUAUGAAUAUUUUUUAUAAUUAGUAUUUUCAUUAUUGUUAGAUGAUAAAAUAUGAACAAUACUUUAUGUAUGACUUAUCCUUUUAAUUAUUUUUUUUUAUAAUUUUCUAAAAUAAGACGGACGGUCAAACGAUAGAUACGGAAAUCUAG